rnacentral:lncRNA from 1 species
GGUGGGAAAAUAACGAACUGUGGUAACCAAAUUAAACAGCUGAGAUGGUAAAAUUAGGGAAGGAUUAGCGGUCCAGUGUUUCGGUAAUUUUUUCCAGAGUGGUUGAAUUGGUCGAACAAACUUCAUAUCAAACUACCUCAGCUAAUCGCCCCAUGUAUUCUGAUGUACAUGCAUGUUUAAGGCGAACAAUUUAUCAGGUGUGGUGUUAUGAUGGUUCUGGUGGGUGGUUGCAGCUAUGAGGCCGAGCUAAUCGAGUUGUGUGAGACCCCUCCUGCGUCCCCAAGAUCGUGGUUCAUACUUUUUUUUUUGGAUGUGUUAAAUGGCCGCUGACAAGCAGAAUUCUUUGUUUUUGCAGCUAUGCACGACAAGAUUUUUCGCGUCAUAAGUCCUCGUGAUGAGGGUCUGUAGUACAUAGGUUGGGCAGGUUGAUGGAUUGAAAAGGUAAAUAGAUCUCUUCUUGUGAUUGAUUUCUUUAUGCUUUUGUUUGGAGGGUUUAAGAGGUGAGCGAGGUUUGUGAUUUUUUUUCCAGUGUGCUCGAUCUUGAUUUCGGACACGAUCAUGCCUUUAUAAGCCUUGUGUUGUGUGUUCAUGCAACUAAUUAUAUGCUUAUAUUCGUUAGCUAUGGAACUCUUCGUACUCAUUGGCAGUUUCGUUAGUUCUGAAGUUUGAUAGAAAAUUGAUUGCAACUGCAGUGGUUAGCGAAUGAAUUUUUUGGUACUUGUUGACCAUUUAGUUAGAGAUGAUUCAACAAUAUAUGAUGUUCAGAAAUUACACAGAUCACUAGAACCUGUAGUUUUCGGCUAAAAAGAGCUCGGGCUUGAUGUUUGAUUUGAUAUAACUUUUUUGUUGCUUUGCAGCCCAGUACAUUUUUGAAUUCUGUACACGUGGAUUAUCCAUUUUUGCUUAUUAUUUUUAUACAUUGUCAUCUUAUCGAAACUUUAUUUUAUUAUCUUCCAUCAUACUAACUCCAUUCAUAGUAUUUAUUUCCAUCAGAAAAUAACUUCAUUAUGUGUUUGCUCAAAAUUUAUAAAGAAAAAAAGCAUAUGAUACGCUGGCCUUGCGGAACAUUCAUGUAUUAGGCUUGUCUUAAUAAUACCGCCUGCUCAUUGUUAAUGUAUAUGUGCCACCCAAUGGUUGCUCCUGCCUAAUUAUAUGGAUGAUGGCAGUAGACAUGCUUGUUCUAUGGGUUACGUGCUUGUUAUUUUUAUGCAUCUUCUCAUCGUUCAUUUUUCUUCGUUGUAGCCCACUGAUUUCGUCUAUAACACGCUGGUAGGUGUUUCGCUCAACUGGAUUGUAGGUCGCUUUCCGUGCUCUCGUCGCCUUGUCUGCUGAGUACUUUUUGACUAUCCGUACUUACCAGGGUUUUUGCUUGCUCACUUGAACCCCCUAUUACUCCCAAUCUUUCUGUUUCAGUUUUGCUUCUUGAUUUAUUUCCCUGCUUGCAUAUAUAUCAUCUAUCUCACUUCACACUACUCACUCUUUGUUGGGCCUACUUCAGUUUUGCAUGUUUGAAUAUUUGUAGUUUGGUCAUGUGUAUCACAUAUCUUUCAGCAUUUGAGUUUCACAGUUUUCAAAAUUUUGCUGGCCACGUGUAUCACUGAUGACACUUAUACAAGUGCUUAUUUUGAUUUUAUUUGUUUGGUAUGUUUUACUGGUGACAUAUAUUUCACAUAUCUCACUCAGUUUAGUGCCUGCCACAUAAUUACUAUUUGUGAUUUUGGAUUGUACUAGCUUUGAUUUGGCUGAUUUCAAGUGAGGAACAUGAGUGGGCUGAUGUAUUAGGCAUGACCAUGGGAAGGCGGUGUUUUCUAUGGUAGAAUUAGUAUGGUGGUAUAAUUCACUGCAUGGUUGGUAGGUUCACUGAUGCAUUUUGUUUAUAGAUGCCUUGACUUCUUGGCCGUCGUGCGUAGCUGCGCGUCGCCGCGGGCGAGUCUCGGCUCGCCUUGCUCUGUUCCACUGUGGCAAUAUUUCCAACUUAUUACAUGAAUGGCUCUAAAAUAACAAGCUUUCGACAUCCUAUGCUUUUUCUAGAAGCUGUUGGUUCUUACUCAAACAUAAAUGCUUCCACGAUAGUGUGGCAUAUUCUCUGACUUCAUUCCUGUGUGUUCUGGAAGAGGAAAAACAAUUCUGUUUGUAUCCCGCCGUGUUCUGGAAGAGGAAUAAGAAUUCCAACACUGGUAGCUAUGUUAGUGUGAUAUGGAGAUGGUUUAUUCCAUGGAAGAGUAGUCACAACUUUUUGUGAAGAUAAUUCCUGAGACUCAAGACAUUGGUCAUGUUUAAGCUUUAGGUGCUUGGAGAUUAUUUGCUGACAUAUCUACUAUUGUUUCCUUCUAACUAUCUGCUGCUAUUUCUCAAUCUAUCGUUCUAAUAUAUCUACCAAAAAGGAUUUGAGAACGCUUGCUUAUUUAGUAAGAAUAUCCUCUUUCUUUGACUGGAGCUUUUUUAGUUCAUGGUUGAUGUCAUUUCAUAUUAUUAGGUGGUUGUCGAUAGUGUCUGUUAAGAUGGAAACAUUUUGCCACCAGGUAGCGUGGUGGUGUAGUCAAUUUUGUAUCUGAUUAUGAUCUUAUUUUUCAGGGUUAUAGUGCAAGGAAACCACACAACCAAAUGAUUGUUCCAAAAAAUUCAAAUUUCCCUUCGCACAUGUACAAGAGCAUCAUAGGUUGUUUAGUCUUGGAGUUCCAAAAAACUGGUUGACUUGUGUACUACAGAGGUAAUGGAACACCUACUUUCACCUAUGUGGGUUUAAUGAUAGAUAACUGUUGCAAUAGAUGGAGCACCUACUUUCACCUAUAUGGGUUUAAUUAUAGAUAAUUGCUACAGUAGUUUGCCAUGUUUGACAUUGCAUAAAUAUGCUUGGAAUAUCAUAUAUCAGGUAAACCUUGAAAACAAGAGAAAUGGUGGUAUUCUCUACACUAGGUUUCAGUUUACUGAAAAUCCACUCUUCAUUUACUGAGUUUUAUGUUUGUUCUUGCUAUCUGCCAGCUCCAUGAUACAAUGGUUUGGAAAAUUUGUAUCGAAUGAUGAUGAUCCAUAAAGCCCUAGGCUGUUCUUUUGCUCACGAGUGAGUUUACUACUUUCUGGUUGCAUGCGCCAAGUCGCCGAGCAGACACUUUUUUUGCAAACUGAUGUAGGAUUAGUUGUUGCAUUGCUUAGUUGGGCUCUGGAGCAGCGAGUACCUUAGUUGAUGCAAUAAUAGCUUCUUGAUGCAUAUAACAUUCUUGCUAUAAUCUGGCCUGAGUUCAAUGUUUUGCAAAAUUCUAUGUAAAUGCGACAAAAGAUCUAGCUUUCUUAUAUUUGGUACUAUGCUUUAGUUACAAUAAUGCACAAAUGGAUUUAUGGAUUAAAUGGAAACAUUGGAAGGAAGACAUCAUUAAAUGUACAGGCACUCUCUGUUCUUACAAAUCUAGCCUAGGUUUGAUACUGAUCUUUCAUCGCUUCAUGCUAAUCUUUUCGGUAUAACAAUACAUAUAUACCUAUUCAGUGAUUUGGUUCCUCUUUGCUGAACUUUUAUUCUUUCCUGCUCAUCUAUAUAGGUUAUGACACUAGUGCAGAACCAGGCUUUAGUGCCGG